rnacentral:rRNA from 1 species
UACCAGCGCCCCGAGUGGUCUGGACGUUUAUUGGGCCUAAAGCAUCCGUAGCCGGUUCUACAAGUCUUCCGUUAAAUCCACCUGCUUAACAGAUGGGCUGCGGAAGAUACUAUGGAGCUAGGAGGCGGGAGAGGCAAGCGGUACUCGAUGGGUAGGGGUAAAAUCCGUUGAUCCAUUGAAGACCACCAGUGGCGAAGGCGGCUUGCCAGAACGCGCUCGACGGUGAGGGAUGAAAGCUGGGGGAGCAAACCGG